UUUUCAAAAACCAGAAUCUGAACCCAACUCUAAACCCGAGAUCUGAACCCAAAUUCGAACCCGACGGAUUUUAAAAAUCCGUAUCCAAACCUGAAGCUGACCAAAAAUUCGAAACCCAUACCCGAACGCAAAAAUUUGAAUCCGAUAUAAUUAUUUUUUUUUCAAUAUUUCAAAAUAUAUUAUAUUAAAUCUAAAUUUUUAAAAUACAAAUUCAAAUAUAACAUCAAAUUAUUAUAUGUAUAUUAUAUAUAAUGCAAAAUAAAUUCGGGUUCGGAUUCGGAUCGGCUACAGUCAAAAUUCAUAUCCGAAUCUAUAUCCGUCGGAUUUUUAUUUUUGAUAUCCAUAUCCGAAUCUAUAUCCAUUUAGCACUGAAUAUAUCCGCUCCAAUUGGUUUCGGGUUCAGAUAAAAUUUCGGAUAUUCAUACCCAUUGACAUCCCUAGGCCUGUGGG
rnacentral:lncRNA from 1 species